AAUCAACACAGUCUGCCUCGCUCUGCAUGCCAAGCACCAAAAAAAAAACAAACCCCAGCUGGCUGUGAAAAAUAUAGACAGAGGCAAAACAAAGGCAACACAAGUUACAGGACUGAGAUUACAUUUGCAAAGGUUGGCCGCCCAGUGAGACCCAACAUCUGCCUUUGUGACCCUGGAGCCGGUGUGGUUUGGGGAUGCUGAAGAAGCCACAGGCAGCCAGCCCGGACUGGAAUACUGAGCAAAGGUCUCUGAAAGGGACACCCCAAGAGACCCCAGGGUAAAAAACCCAAGAGUGGAAGCAAGUUGGAGAUUUUUAUUUUUUUUGCAGCAUUCCUCUGGACAACUUGUGCACAGGAUAACCUCCCAUCCACCUCUCUCUCUCUCCUACCCCCAGGCCUGGCCAGCCCGGGCAGUGUGUUUAAAUUCAACCCUUGCCUAUCCUGAUUUUCCUGGAAGACUCGAUGGACUGCUGGAGAAAGAGUUGUCUCAUGAGAUCACUGGAGACUGGAAUCAGAGCAGUUGAGAGGAGAAGGGGUGUUUGAACUGUCACAUCUAAGCCACCGGAAAUCAGUGUCAGGAUGAGGUUCAUCUGUUGCUCUUGGGGCUUGACCCAGAGCCUCUUGCACUCCAAAUCAGCUACUAUGUCAGGAACUUCGAUGAGUGACUUGGCUGAAGUGUUCAACCACUCCUCUGUCUGCUAGACAAAGGGCCAGAUUCAUUGUUGCCCUUGGGCCCCUCUGGGCCUAGGACGGGUGGUAUAAACUGGUCACUAUCUGGGGUCAGGAAGAAACCUUCCUCCAUGAUGCAGACCUUCAUCUAAAGCACCUGGUAAUGGCCACUGUUGUAGACAGGAUAGUGGACUCUAUGGACCACAGAGACCUGUGAUGGUGAAGGGUUCCAGAAAUAUUUGACACCAAAAAAUAUCAGAAUAAGAAAAAGCGCCAGUAUGCAGAAGAGCAAUCCACAGAUCUUGUAUCUUUUGCGAAUCUUCUUUCUUGUCUUAGAUGCUUCUGCCUAAUUAAUUACAAAACAGCAAUAUCCAGUGGUCUGCUUAUCAUUCCAAGGAGUGCUGAAUACACAUACAUAUCAGACAGCUAUU